rnacentral:rRNA from 1 species
UACGUAGGGGGCAAGCGUUGUCCGGAUUUAUUGGGCGUAAAGAGCGUGUAGGCGGCUUCACAGGUCCGCUGUGAAAACUCGAGGCUCAACCUCGAGCUGUCGGUGGAAACCGUGUGGCUAGAGUCCGGAAGAGGAGAGUGGAAUUCCCGGUGUAGCGGUGAAAUGCGCAGAUAUCGGGAGGAACACCAAUGGCGAAGGCAGAUCUCUGGGCCGUAACUGACGCUGAGAGACGAAAGCUAGGGGAGCAAAUGGG